rnacentral:rRNA from 1 species
GAUGAACGCUGGCGGCGUGCCUAAUACAUGCAAGUCGAGCGAACGGACGAGAAGCUUGCUUCUCUGAUGUUAGCGGCGGACGGGUGAGUAACACGUGGAUAACCUACCUAUAAGACUGGGAUAACUUCGGGAAACCGGAGCUAAUACCGGAUAAUAUUUUGAACCGCAUGGUUCAAAAGUGAAAGACGGUCUUGCUGGCACUUAUAGAUGGAUCCGCGCUGCAUUAGCUAGUUGGUAAGGUAACGGCUUACCAAGGCAACGAUGCAUAGCCGACCUGAGAGGGUGAUCGGCCACACUGGAGCUGAGACACCGUCCAGACUCCUAAGGGAGGCAGCAGUAGGGAAUCUUCCGCAAUGGGCGAAAGCCUGACGGAGCAACGCCGCGUGAGUGAUGAAGGUCUUCGGAUCGUAAAACUCUGUUAUUAGGGAAGAACAUAUGUGUAAGUAACUGUGCACAUCUUGACGGUAACUAAUCAGAAAGCAACGGCUAACUACGUG